rnacentral:lncRNA from 1 species
AACUAUUACAUAUUCAACAUAUAGACUAUUCCCAAACUUUCCUUACAUAUUUUUCAUAGAAUCAAACAGAAAAAAUUACAAUAAAUAAAACCUAUAAGCAAAAUAGAACCAAAAUCAAAGAAAUCAUGACUAUUGAUAAAUGAAACCCAUGAUCCUAGCCUCUCAAAAUGGGUUAUUGCUCUGGUUCUCAUUAUAAACGAAAUAAGGAGGAGGAAUGAAACAACAGAUCUUGUUUCCCUUCAUAUGAUCAUCACUAUUUGUGGUUGAUUCUCUCUGUCUGCGACAAUUGACGAGAAACGAAACCACGGCAAUCGUUGAUCAUUGAUGUCUGUGGUUGAUCUCACUUCCCUUCAGAUUUGAUUGUUGAUGGUCGAAGUUAUCUAUAUGCAAGCAUGGCUAAGAGGAUAAGAAGAAGGGACAAAAGGGAGGGAAAGAAGAAAUGAGACUAGAGUGGCUAGGGUUGGGAGGCAACGGUGUAUAAUUGAGAGAUGGAAGAUGAGAGAGAUGAAAGAAACUCGAAGAUGGAAGAUGAAAGAUGGAAGAUGAAAGGUUGAGUUGUCAGAAAU